rnacentral:rRNA from 1 species
AUCAUGGCUCAGGAUGAACGCUAGCUACAGGCUUAACACAUGCAAGUCGAGGGGUAGCACGGAAGAAGCUUGCUUCUUUGGGUGACGACCGGCGCACGGGUGAGUAACGCGUAUCCGACCUGCCCAUGACUCGGGCACAGCCGCUCGAAAGAGCGAUUGAUUCCCGAUAUGUCUAUGAAGUAGAUUCCUGGAUGAAAGAUUUAUCGGUAACGGAUGGGGAUGCGUGACAUUAGAUAGUAGGCGGGGUAACGGCCCACCUAGUCUACGAUGUCUAGGGGUUCUGAGAGGAAGGUCCCCCACACUGGAACUGAGACACGGUCCAGACUCCUACGGGAGGCAGCAGUGAGGAAUAUUGGUCAAUGGUCGGAAGACUGAACCAGCCAAGUAGCGUGAAGGAUGAAGGUUCUAUGGAUUGUAAACUUCUUUAUACGGGAAUAAAACCACCUACGUGUAGGUGCUUGUAUGUACCGUAUGAAUAAGCAUCGGCUAACUCCGUG